ensembl:lncRNA
AAACUAUUCCUAAUAAUUAAUGUGCAUGAAAUCAUGACCUUUCUUCUUUGAGCAAAGAAGAAAGAUCUCAUGAAAAACAAAAGUUAUGCAUUCACACGGUGUGCAAGCUUGCCAUGUCUACUAAUACACUAACAUGUACCACUGAGCUGCAUCUGAGGCACACUGAACUGGUUUUGAAACAUGAGUCUUGAUUUGGUUAAAGAUCCAAUGCUUUUUUUUAGGCCACUGCAUCUUACAGAUUUGUGUAAAUUAAAUCUGGUUGUCUGUCCUGUAAACAAAACUCAUCUUUAUGUUCCUCAGAAUGGGGUAUUCCUGGAGCCUGCAAUACUUCUAUGCUUCAUGCGGAUAUAUUGUACUCAUUGCAGUGAGGAUUUCAAGAUAAUCUUUUUUUAUAAGUGUGUUAGAAUGAAUUAUGAGUGUUUAUGCAAAGGUAAAUAAAGGUGCAUGUUUCUACAUGGUGACACGAUAAAGUAGUCGUGCUAAUUCUGCUAGAUAUUCCAGUACAUCUCAUAAAUAUAAGUAUUCAUUGUAAUUUCUCAUCUAUUUCUAUAGCCGGAGGCAAGAGUGGAAAAGAGUAGACAAAAAAAACUGCAGAUAUUUCAGCUAUGUUUUGCAAUGACCAUUCCCUUAGGACUUUCGGUCUCACAUGUCAACUUUUUUCGUGGUUUGCAGAACCAUACAGAAAAAUUCAUUCCCAUAAACUCUGCUUUCAAUGAAUAAUACUACAUUGAAUAGUUCAGUAAACCAGAACAAACAGACAGACUGUGAAAGUUCCUCUGAAGAAGGCUUAAGUUUCCUCUUUUGUUUGUUAUUUUACCAUUACAGUAAGGCCACUGGUGCUCAUUUUGUUAGUCUUUUGUCAGCACUUCUAUUAUAAAGCCUGAUUUUGGGGGAUUUAUAAUUUUGUCUAAGUCAAUUCACUACAGACUAAGGGUUUUAAAUACUAGCUUUUAAUCCAGAAAUGGUUUUACAGAAGAAUAUUGUUAAAAUGUGAUGAGUUCAGUUUUGAAAACAUAAUAAAAUAAAAUAAAAUAAAAUAAAAUAAAAUAAAAUAAAAUAAAAAUACAGUUUUAGUUAUAUCUGAUGGUUGUUUUGGAGACUGUGCUGCAAAAAGAACAGGGAGCUGAGUAAAGCACAGUGAGCAUAAUAAAAAGCUUCUCACUUCACUGGGCUUUGAGUUUGUUUUUAAAGCAUCUGAAUGCUGAUCAGUAAUCUUAAAUGAGACAACCACUUACGCAUAUUUUUCCGUGCUCAGUCAUGACUUAAGGAUACAAUGCUGUCCAUAUCUGUAGGAGUAGUUUCAUGCAAGUCACUCCAUGUCAGUCAAUACAAUUUGAUUUUUAAUUUCUAGUCUACAUAAACUCAACUCUUACCCCUGUCUAAUAGCAGUUUGGCUUGCACUAUAGAAGAAAAAAAAAAUCUUAUUCUCUUUUUCAUAUUAGAUAGUUUGGAAAAAAUAAUCUUUUGUUAUGAUAUAAUUGAAAUUUAAAGGAUGCAACUGACUUAGGUCUGUUAGAACAUUGCAGAAUUCUCACUGCAUUUUCCAUUACUAAUGCAACUAUAUGCAAACAUCACUCUUUUAAACACCCCAGUGCUUCUAGAAAUUUUCAGUUGAAUUUUUUGUCGUUAAUGCUAGCCAACACACUUAGCUAAAUCCUCAACCAAAUAAAUAAAGCUCUGUUCCACUGCCUUUUUUAUUGUCUGGAAUCUAUCAAAUGUUCAGAGUACCGAAACAUAUCUCAAUUUCUGUGCUAUUUGCUAUGGUUCAAAAUGUUAUAUAUGAAAGCUAGACAGUUAAAUGCCAGUGUAAAGCAAUUAAAUAUAACAAGAAUUCAAACUAUGAUAAAUAUUUCACACAUCUCUGUUAUCUUCAUUAACUAUAGGAGUUGAAUGUAGAAGUAUUAAACUAUUUACAGUUAAGACCACUGUUGCAUGUCAAAAUAGCAGACACAACGCAGUUAAAAAAAUCUUAUUUGGACGGAGUGGAUCAUGUGCAUGCUCAGCAAAUAAUGGCCAUUCAUCAUCUAAAAAUUCUCCAAUUUGAUAUUCAUUGUGAUUUGACAAUAUGUUUGUAAUUGUACACUCUGUUGCCUAUUAGAAGACUGUUACUGUAAAUAUUAGAAACUGGUGUUAACCC